GCACUAGUGGUAUAGUGGUAGCAUAGGUCCUUGCCAAAUCAGGCGCCUGGUCGUCUGGUGUAGUACGGACCAGACCCGAGUUCGAUUCUCGGCUAGUGCA
rnacentral:tRNA from 1 species